rnacentral:rRNA from 1 species
AGGGCACCACCAGGAGUGGAGCCUGCGGCUUAAUUUGACUCAACACGGGAAAACUUACCUGGUCAGGACACUGGAAGGAUUGACAGAUUGAGAGCUCUUUCUUGAUUCAGUGGGUGGUGGUGCAUGGCCGUUCUUAGUUGGUGGAGCGAUUUGUCUGGUUAAUUCCGAUAACGAACGAGACUCUAGCCUACUAAAUAGACUGCUCAACUUUAUAGCUGUAUCACCUUGCAGUUGCUUCGGUGGCUGUAAGGCUAUGGUGACGUUGGCAGUGCUUCUUAGAGGGACAGGCGGCGGUUCAGCCGCACGAAACAGAGCAAUAACAGGUCUGUGAUGCCCUUAGAUGUCCAGGGCCGCACGCGCGCUACACUGAAGUGAUCAGCGUGCAAUUAACGUUCCCUACUCCGUCAGGAGUGGGUAACCCGUUGAACCUUCUUCGUGAUUGGGAUAGGGGAUUGUAAUUAUUCCCCUUGAACGAGGAAUUCCCAGUAAGCGCAAGUCAUAAGCUUGCGUUGAUUACGU